GCUUGUAGCUCAGUGGUAGAGCACUUGCCUCACAUGUAUGAGGUACUAGGUUCGAUCCUCAGCAAAACA
rnacentral:tRNA from 1 species